rnacentral:tRNA from 1 species
GGGCUCGUAGCUCAAUAGGCUGAGCAUUCGGCUCUUAUCCGACAGGAUGCGGGUUCGAAUCCCGCCGAGCUCU